rnacentral:rRNA from 1 species
GACGGAGGGUGCAAGCGUUGUUCGGAUUCAUUGGGCGUAAAGGGUGCGUAGGUGGCGCCGUAAGUCAGGUGUGAAAUUUCGGAGCUUAACUCCGAAACUGCAUUUGAUACUGCGGUGCUUGAGGACUGGAGAGGAGACUGGAAUUUACGGUGUAGCAGUGAAAUGCGUAGAGAUCGUAAGGAAGACCAGUGGCGAAGGCGGGUCUCUGGACAGUUCCUGACACUGAGGCACGAAGGCCAGGGGAGCAAACGGG